rnacentral:rRNA from 1 species
CCAGUGGCAUUGCCGGGUAGCUAUGUGCGGACGGGAUAACCGCUGAAAGCAUCUAAGCGGGAAGCCCCCUUCAAGAUGAGACAUCCCCGAGGCCUUGAGCCUCCUGAAGGGCCCAGCGAGACCAGCUGGUUGAUAGGCCGGGUGUGGAAGCGCUGCAAGGCGUUGAGCUAACCGGUACUAAUGGCCCGUGAGGCUUGACCAUA